UAGUUCAGCUGGUUAGAAUACCUGCCUGUCACGCAGGGGGUCGCGGGUUCGAGUCCCG
rnacentral:tRNA from 4 species